GAUGAACGCUGGCGGCGUGCCUAAUACAUGCAAGUCGAGCGAACAGACGAGGAGCUUGCUCCUCUGACGUUAGCGGCGGACGGGUGAGUAACACGUGGAUAACCUACCUAUAAGACUGGGAUAACUUCGGGAAACCGGAGCUAAUACCGGAUAACAUGUUGAACCGCAUGGUUCAACAGUGAAAGACGGUCCUGCUGUCACUUAUAGAUGGAUCCGCGCCGCAUUAGCUAGUUGGUAAGGUAACGGCUUACCAAGGCAACGAUGCGUAGCCGACCUGAGAGGGUGAUCGGCCACACUGGAACUGAGACACGGUCCAGACUCCUACGGGAGGCAGCAGUAGGGAAUCUUCCGCAAUGGGCGAAGGCCUGACGGAGCAACGCCGCGUGAGUGAAGAAGGUCUUCGGAUCGUAAAACUCUGUUAUUAGGGAAGAACAAAUGUGUAAGUAACUAUGCACGUCUUGACGGUACCUAAUCAGAAAGCCACGGCUAACUACGUG
rnacentral:rRNA from 1 species